AUCCUGGAGGACUAGUGGUGAGGCCUCGGCACUCUCACCACCGCACCCUGGGUUUGAUUCCCAGCCAGGGAA